UGCCCAGUGAACAAUUUAACGGCCGCGGUACCCUAACCGUGCAAAGGUAGCACAAUCACUUGUCUAUUAAUUGUAGACCUGUAUGAAAGGCAAAACGAGGGCCUAUCUGUCUCUUGUAGUAAGUCAAUUAAACUGAUCUCCCAGUCCAAAAGCUGGGAUACCAACAUAAGACCAGAAGACCCUGUGAAGCUUAAACUAAACUAUUAAAUCUCAUAAUAGCUCCUUUCGGUUGGGGCGACCUUGGAAAAAAAAAGAACUUCCAAACACACUGACUUUACAGUCACCCACCCAGGCCAACAAGCCUAACAACGACCCAGCACAGCUGACAACUGAACCAAGUUACUCCAGGGAUAACAGCGCUAUCUUCUUCAAGAGCCCAUAUCAAAAAGAAGGUUUACGACCUCGAUGUUGGAUCAGGACAUCCUAAUGGUGCAGCCGCUAUUAAGGGUUCGUUUGUUCAACGAUUAACAGUCCCACGUGAUCU
rnacentral:rRNA from 1 species